UACGGGGGGGGGCAAGCGUUGUUCGGAAUUACUGGGCGUAAAGGGCUCGUAGGCGGCCAACUAAGUCGGAUGUGAAAUCCCCAGGCUUAACCUGGGAACUGCAUCCGAUACUGGAUGGCUUGAAUCCGGGAGAGGGAUGCAGAAUUCCAGGUGUAGCGGUGAAAUGCGUAGAUAUCGGGAGGAACACCAAUGGCGAAGGCAGCUCGCUGGGACGGUACUGACGCUGAGGCGCGAAAGCGUGGGUAGCAAACAGG
rnacentral:rRNA from 1 species